GAUGAACGCUAGCUACAGGCUUAACACAUGCAAGUCGAGGGGAAACGGCAUUGAGUGCUUGCACUCUUUGGACGUCGACCGGCGCACGGGUGAGUAACGCGUAUCCAACCUUCCCAUUACUGUGGGAUAACCUGCCGAAAGGCAGACUAAUACCGCAUAGUCUUCGAUGACGGCAUCAGAUUUGAAGUAAAGAUUUAUCGGUAAUGGAUGGGGAUGCGUCUGAUUAGCUUGUUGGCGGGGUAACGGCCCACCAAGGCGACGAUCAGUAGGGGUUCUGAGAGGAAGGUCCCCCACAUUGGAACUGAGACACGGUCCAAACUCCUACGGGAGGCAGCAGUGAGGAAUAUUGGUCAAUGGACGUAAGUCUGAACCAGCCAAGUAGCGUGCAGGAUGACGGCCCUAUGGGUUGUAAACUGCUUUUGUAUGGGGAUAAAGUUAGGGACGUGUCCCUAUUUGCAGGUACC
rnacentral:rRNA from 1 species